GACGAACGCUGGCGGCGUGCUUAACACAUGCAAAUCGAACGGAAAGGCCCCCUUGUGGGGUACUCGAGUGGCGAACGGGUGAGUAACACGUGAGUAACCUACCCUUGACUUUGGGAUAACUUCAGGAAACUGGGGCUAAUACCGGAUAGGAGCUCCUGCUGCAUGGUGGGGGUUGGAAAGUUUCGGCGGUUGGGGAUGGACUCGCGGCUUAUCAGCUUGUUGGUGGGGUAGUGGCUCACCAAGGCUUUGACGGGUAGCCGGCCUGAGAGGGUGACCGGCCACAUUGGGACUGAGAUACGGCCCAGACUCCUACGGGAGGCAGCAGUGGGGAAUAUUGCACAAUGGGCGGAAGCCUGAUGCAGCAACGCCGCGUGCGGGAUGACGGCCUUCGGGUUGUAAACCGCUUUCGCCUGUGACGAAGCGUGAGUGACGGUAAUGGGUAAAGAAGCACCGGCUAACUACGUG
rnacentral:rRNA from 1 species